rnacentral:snRNA from 1 species
GAGAAGACGAAUUGAUUUCUCAU